rnacentral:rRNA from 1 species
UACGUAGGGCGCAAGCGUUGUCCGGAAUUAUUGGGCGUAAAGAGCUCGUAGGCGGUUUGUUACGUCUGCUGUGAAAACCUAGGGCUUAACCCUGGGCUUGCAGUGGAUACGGGCAGACUAGAGGUAGGUAGGGGAGAAUGGAAUUCCUGGUGUAGCGGUGAAAUGCGCAGAUAUCAGGAGGAACACCGGUGGCGAAGGCGGUUCUCUGGGCCUGGACUGACACUGAGGAGCGAAAGCGUGGGGAGCGAACAGG